AGAAGGACUAUCAUUUGACAAUAGAUCCUUAGAACAAAGAUUGCCAGAAUUUGAUCUCAAAUCUCCCAAUUCUGAUCCCUCAAUCACCGAAACUCCCAUAAUAUCUAAUCCAUCUUCUGUAAGGGUACCAGUUUUGUCGAAACUAAUCAAGUCUAAUUUACCACUGACGUUUACUCUCUGGGGACUAAUGCAAAAAAUGCCCUGCUUUCGGAGACGAGAUAUCGCAAACGUCGUUCCAAUCGUAAGUGUUGCAGGUAAAGCAGGAGGAACUACAAUUGUUAUAAGAUCCAAAGCACGAAUGAUAAUUGUGGCGAUUGGAACACCUAAUGUCAAUAGAUUGAUAGAGCUAAAAACAAACCCAAUCAAUGCAAUUAUAAACAUAGCUGUAAUGAAACGAAAGGAAUCACGGUAAAAACUAAAAUUGGUCGGCUUAGGGAAAAUCAUCGAACGAACGAGAGCACCUUUAGUAGUGUUAAAACCGGUGCGAACGACCAUAGCUAAUGAAGCACCUUCUUCUUUCUCAUUGACAAAGGGUUUACGGACUUGAAUAAUUUUAGUGCCAGAGAACAAGAAAUGCUUGCAAAGCGACGCAGGGAUAUUCUUGGAGAAGGAAAACAGCUCCUUCAUACUUUGGUCUGUGGCUGGAAUUUUGGAAACUGGAAUAGAUUCGCCUGUCAACAUACUUUCAUUGACAAUGCAGUCACCACUAAGCAAAAGGGCAUCUGCUGGAAAGAUAGUUAAUUCUGGAUCGGAUAUUUCAAAGACAUCCCCAAUGACUAAGUCGGUAGAUGAUAUACUUGUCCAAAAACCAUCUCUGUAGACGCGAACAGGACAUGUGAAACGAGACAUUUCACGCAUUCUUCUUAGUGUUUUCCUGGUUUCAAUAAGACUACCAAGGAUGCUAACGACUGAAAUAAUCAAAAUACAAAUCGCAUAAUAAUAGUAGGAGUCCAUGGACCAAAGGAUGAUCGAGAAAACUUGAAAGAUAUAAAAUGGAUGAAGC